rnacentral:rRNA from 1 species
GACGGAGGGUGCUAGCGUUGUUCGGAAUUACUGGGCGUAAAGGGCGCGUAGGCGGCCCUGUCAGUCGGGUGUGAAAGCCCCGGGCUCAACCUGGGAAUGGCGAUGGAUACUGGCUCCCUAGAGUGCGGUAGAGGAGAGUGGAAUUCCCGGUGUAGCAGUGAAAUGCGUAGAGAUCGGGAGGAACAUCAGUUGCGAAGGCGGCUCUCUGGACCAGCACUGACACUGGGGCACGAAAGCGUGGGGAGCAAACAGG